CCCUUAGAGUUUGAUCCUGGCUCAGAGCGAACGCUGGCGGCAGGCCUAACACAUGCAAGUCGAGCGGGCACCGCAAGGUGUCAGCGGCAGACGGGAGAGUAACACGUGGGAACGUGCCCUUCGGUUCGGAAUAACUCGGGGAAACCCGAGCUAAUACCGAAUACGCCCUUACGGGGAAAGAUUUAUCGCCGAUGGAGCGGCCCGCGUCUGAUUAGCUAGUUGGUGAGGUAAUGGCUCACCAAGGCGACGAUCAGUAGCUGGUCUGAGAGGAUGAUCAGCCUCACUGGGACUGAGACACGGCCCAGACUCCUACGGGAGGCAGCAGUGGGGAAUAUUGGACAAUGGGCGCAAGCCUGAUCCAGCCAUGCCGCGUGGAUGAUGAAGGCCUUAGGGUUGUAAAGUCCUUUUAACGGGGAAGAUAAUGACGGUACCCGUAGAAUAAGCCCCGGCUAACUUCGUGCCAGCAGCCGCGGUAAUACGAAGGGGGCUAGCGUUGCUCGGAAUUACUGGGCGUAAAGCGCACGUAGGCGGCUUUUUAAGUCGGGGGUGAAAUCCUGGAGCUCAACUCCAGAACUGCCUUCGAUACUGAAGAGCUUGAGUCCGGGAGAGGUGAGUGGAACUGCGAGUGUAGAGGUGAAAUUCGUAGAUAUUCGCAAGAACACCAGUGGCGAAAGCGGCUCACUGGCCCGGUACUGACGCUGAGUGCGAAAGCGUGGGGAGCAA
rnacentral:rRNA from 1 species